AUUGAACGCUGGCGGCAUGCCUUACACAUGCAAGUCGAACGGCAGCACGGAGCUUGCUCCGGUGGCGAGUGGCGAACGGGUGAGUAAUAUAUCGGAACGUACCCUAGAGUGGGGGAUAACGUAGCGAAAGUUACGCUAAUACCGCAUACGAUCUAAGGAUGAAAGUGGGGGAUCGCAAGACCUCAUGCUCGUGGAGCGGCCGAUAUCUGAUUAGCUAGUUGGUAGGGUAAAAGCCUACCAAGGCAUCGAUCAGUAGCUGGUCUGAGAGGACGACCAGCCACACUGGAACUGAGACACGGUCCAGACUCCUACGGGAGGCAGCAGUGGGGAAUUUUGGACAAUGGGCGAAAGCCUGAUCCAGCAAUGCCGCGUGAGUGAAGAAGGCCUUCGGGUUGUAAAGCUCUUUUGUCAGGGAAGAAACGGUGAGAGCUAAUAUCUCUUGCUAAUGACGGUACCUGAAGAAUAAGCACCGGCUAACUACGUGCCAGCAGCCGCGGUAAUACGUAGGGUGCAAGCGUUAAUCGGAAUUACUGGGCGUAAAGCGUGCGCAGGCGGUUUUGUAAGUCUGAUGUGAAAUCCCCGGGCUCAACCUGGGAAUUGCAUUGGAGACUGCAAGGCUAGAAUCUGGCAGAGGGGGGUAGAAUUCCACGUGUAGCAGUGAAAUGCGUAGAUAUGUGGAGGAACACCGAUGGCGAAGGCAGCCCCCUGGGUCAAGAUUGACGCUCAUGCACGAAAGCGUGGGGAGCAAACAGGAUUAGAUACCCUGGUAGUCCACGCCCUAAACGAUGUCUACUAGUUGUCGGGUCUUAAUUGACUUGGUAACGCAGCUAACGCGUGAAGUAGACCGCCUGGGGAGUACGGUCGCAAGAUUAAAACUCAAAGGAAUUGACGGGGACCCGCACAAGCGGUGGAUGAUGUGGAUUAAUUCGAUGCAACGCGAAAAACCUUACCUACCCUUGACAUGGCUGGAAUCCCCGAGAGAUUGGGGAGUGCUCGAAAGAGAACCAGUACACAGGUGCUGCAUGGCUGUCGUCAGCUCGUGUCGUGAGAUGUUGGGUUAAGUCCCGCAACGAGCGCAACCCUUGUCAUUAGUUGCUACGAAAGGGCACUCUAAUGAGACUGCCGGUGACAAACCGGAGGAAGGUGGGGAUGACGUCAAGUCCUCAUGGCCCUUAUGGGUAGGGCUUCACACGUCAUACAAUGGUACAUACAGAGCGCCGCCAACCCGCGAGGGGGAGCUAAUCGCAGAAAGUGUAUCGUAGUCCGGAUUGUAGUCUGCAACUCGACUGCAUGAAGCUGGAAUCGCUAGUAAUCGCGGAUCAGCAUGUCGCGGUGAAUACGUUCCCGGGUCU
rnacentral:rRNA from 1 species